CCUGAUGGAGGGGGAUAACUACUGGAAACGGUAGCUAAUACCGCAUAACGUCGCAAGACCAAAGAGGGGGACCUUCGGGCCUCUUGCCAUCGGAUGUGCCCAGAUGGGAUUAGCUAGUAGGUGGGGUAAAGGCUCACCUAGGCGACGAUCCCUAGCUGGUCUGAGAGGAUGACCAGCCACACUGGAACUGAGACACGGUCCAGACUCCUACGGGAGGCAGCAGUGGGGAAUAUUGCACAAUGGGCGCAAGCCUGAUGCAGCCAUGCCGCGUGUAUGAAGAAGGCCUUCGGGUUGUAAAGUACUUUCAGCGGGGAGGAAGGGAGUAAAGUUAAUACCUUUGCUCAUUGACGUUACCCGCAGAAGAAGCACCGGCUAACUCCGUGCCAGCAGCCGCGGUAAUACGGAGGGUGCAAGCGUUAAUCGGAAUUACUGGGCGUAAAGCGCACGCAGGCGGUUUGUUAAGUCAGAUGUGAA
rnacentral:rRNA from 1 species